GAGGAAAAGGAGGAGGAGGCAGAGGCGGUCUGGGCCGGGCCGGGCCUGACCCCUGCGUCCCGGGGGCACAGGCGUUCUUAAGGCUGCAGAGCCCUGGGUCCCCCACCCGGCCCCGGUUCACUUUGAGCGGUCCCAAGGCCUGAGGGCCUACUGUCCAGUCCCCAGGUUAUCGUCCUGAGCAAAGACAGACCCCGAGCCCUGCGGUCUUGGGGCUCAAACAGUCCCUGGAUGGCCAAACAAGCAAAUAUUCGCCAUGGCAGUGGGUGCUGGAAGGGUGGCUCACGGAGCUGACGCCCUCCGCAGAGAACCGUGGUCUAGUCCUGCGGUCACGAGGCCUAUCUGGGACAGUGGUGUUUGAGCUGAGACUUUAACGAAUAGAGACAGGUGAGGUUCCUGCAGCCCAGGGCUUCAGCGUGAACAACCCCAGAAGGAAAAAGAGUGCUGUUGUUAAAGGUAUCUGGCAUCAUGGACCCAACCAUCACCAGGAGUUUCUCACUUCAUCUCUGUGUGAUAAAUUUUGACAUAUGUAUACAUCCAUGAAGCCGGCACCACAAUCAAGAUAAUGAACAUCUCGCUUACCCCAGAAGUUUCCUGUGCCCUGUCACUCCUCCGUAUUCCUCCAUCCUCAGUGAUAUUUCCCAAAACAUGUUCUCCAAGCUGUUAAUAUUCUAUGUAAAUGAAAGAAAAAGGAAGAAAGAAAAAGAAAGGAAGAAAAGAAGGAGGAAGAAAAAGAAGGGAGGGAGAAAAAAGGAAAGAAAA
rnacentral:lncRNA from 10 species